UGAGGACCUUCUCUGUCAAUGCAUGGGUCAGGUAGUGAGCCAGCAUACAGAGGAGAUGCAAUCUGGUGUCUACCUUGGAUCUUACCGUGUAAUUGGGAAGACAGACAGAAUAAGUGUUCACAAGGAUAGUUCACUACAUGGCGCCUGCCACCUUCCUGUCUGUCGCAGCUCCUGCUCUGAAAGGGAGGACCCAUGCAGUUUUGUUGCAUCAAGUUCAACUCUGCGUCUCCGCAAAGGCUUUCAUUAGAACCAGUGAGAGAUACGCAUAUAGCUGCAUUCACACAGAAUGUGGUUAAGGUCAACUGUCUUAGGAACGUAUCUCUUUCAACACGAUUAUAUUGGAUAUUAGUAAAUAAGGCCUCUGGCUAUAAUUCAAAGAACAUCUGAAAUGCAAAGAUGGAACCAGAAGGCCUUGUUGUUUAAAACUUGAAAUAUUCAGAAUGACUAAGGGGCAACUGAAGUGCUUUUCUAACCAUAAGCAGAUGACAUCAUAAUUCCUAUUAAGUAGGUGUCUGAAAUUUUCACCAUUCCUCCCUAAACAUACAAGGAGGGAAGCCCAGAAGCAAUUGCACAAAAGAAACAUAAAGGACUGUUUUAGUCAGCUUCUUUGCUGCUGUCACUAAAAGGAGCCAACCAGAACAACUGUAGAGGAGGAAAAGUUUAUUUGAGGGCUCAUGGCCUCAGAGGUCUCAAUCCACAGACAGCUGGCUCCAUUCCUCAGGUCUGCAGGUGAGGCAGAACAACAGGACAGAGGAACGUGGCAGAGGGAAGCAGCUCCCAUGAUGAUCAGGAAGCAGAGAGAGCGACUCCAGAUACAAAAUCCAUACCUGAAAGCCACGCCCCCAAUGCCCACCUCCUCCAGCUGAGCCCCACCUCCUCCAGCUGAGCCCCACCUCCUCCAGUUACCACUCAGUUAAUCCCAUUAGGGAUUAAUCCAUGGACUAGUUCAAGGCUCUCACCACUUAACCAUUCCCCCUCUGAACCCUCCCACAUAGUCUCACACAUGAGCUUUUGGAGACACCUCACAUACAAACCAUCACAAGGAGAUAACUUCAAGGAGACAGAAGAGUUGGACUAUAAGCCAUUCCCCCUGGAGCACCUUGAACAGAGCAGAUACUAAUCUUCCAUCUGAGGGAAGACUUUUGACACUUGCCAGUAACUGUAAUAAUCGUCACUGGUGGUGACUGUGCUUUUGCUACCAGUUUUUGUCAAGUGGUGGUCAAGCAGGGUUAAGGCUCAGAGAAAAGAAAAACCAGUGUCCUGGGCAGAACGUCUGUGUCCAGUUUGGGUCCAGCUUUCACCGGCACAAUUAUCUGUUGGCCCAGCUGCAAGUCUGUGUAUCUGCUUGAUGUCAAAGUGCCUGGUGGAAAGACAGGCCGGUAAGAGAGGCGAGGGCUGCAGUGGGAAUAUCUUGCCUGUUGACAGCUGCCUCUGGCAAAAAUAGAAAAAGGAGGUGUAACUUGAUU
rnacentral:lncRNA from 1 species